rnacentral:rRNA from 1 species
AACGAACGCUGGCGGCGUGUUUAAGACAUGCAAGUCGCACGGGAUAAGACAUGUAGUAAUACUUGUUUUAUUUAGUGGCGCACGGGUGAGUAACACGUGAAUUACAUGCCCUAUAGUGGGGAAUAGCCCAGGGAAACUUGGAUUAAUACCCCAUGGUAUCGAAAGAUUAAAGGUGGCCGCAAGGCUGUCGCUAUAGGAUUGGUUCGCGCCCUAUAAGCUUGUUGGUGAGGUAACGGCUCACCAAGGCAAUGACGGGUACCUGGUCUGAGAGGACGAUCAGGUACACUGGAACUGAGACACGGUCCAGACACCUACGGGUGGCAGCAGUCGAGAAUAAUUCACAAUGGGGGCAACCCUGAUGGUGCAACGCCGCGUGGAGGAUGACGGUCUUCGGAUUGUAAACUCCUGUCAUCUGGGAGAAAGACCUGACGGUAAAUAGCCGGCAGGGUUGAUAGUACCAGAAGAGGAAGGGACGGCUAACUUCGUGCCAGCAGCCGCGGUAA